ACGGAAGGCAGCAGUGGGGAAUAUUGGGCAAUGGGCGGAAGCCUGACCCAGCGACGCCGCGUGAGGGAAGACGGUCUUCGGAUUGUAAACCUCUUUCAGCAGGGAAGAUAAUGACGGUACCUGCAGAAGAAGCCACGGCUAACUACGUGCCAGCAGCCGCGGUAAUACGUAGGUGGCAAGCGUUAUCCGGAUUUAUUGGGUGUAAAGGGUGUGUAGGCGGGACUGCAAGUCAGAAGUGAAAAUCAUGGGCUCAACCCAUGACCUGCUUUUGAAACUGUGGUUCUUGAGAGUGGGAGAGGUAAACGGAAUUCCUGGUGUAGCGGUGAAAUGCGUAGAUAUCAGGAGGAACACCGGUGGCGAAGGCGGUUUACUGGACCAUUACUGACGCUGAGACACGAAAGCGUGGGGAGCAAACAGGAUUAGAUACCCUGGUA
rnacentral:rRNA from 1 species